GGGUCAGUAGGUUGGUCGUGCCACCGGUACGUACUGGUCUCACUGCUUCCUCCUUCCUGAAGAACCGUAAUGCCAUUAAUUUGGUGUUGCGGGGAAACAGGACUGUUACUUUGAAAAAAUUAGAGUGUUUAAAGCAAGCUAACGCUUGAAUACAUUAGCAUGGAAUAAUGAAAUAGGAGGAUCGAUCCUAUUUUGUUGGUUUCUAGGAUUGACGUA
rnacentral:rRNA from 1 species